ACGUGGGACGUAAAAGCGCAUGCGAGGUUGGUUUUAGUUAAGUCAAGAUGUAGAAAACGGCCCGGGCUACCAAACCGUACGGAAAAUAGCUAUUUAGAAAACGUGGCAGACUAGAGUACUGUAGGAGGGGGUAGAAUUUCAGGUGUAGCGGUGAAAAUGCGUAGAGAUCUGAAGGAAUACCGGUGGCGAAGGCGGCCCCUGGACAGAUACUGACACUCAGAUGCGAAAGCGUGGGGAGCAAACAGGAUUAGAUACCCUGGUAG
rnacentral:rRNA from 1 species